AAGUCGUAACAAGGUUUCCGUAGGUGAACCUGCGGAAGGAUCAUUAAAAGAUAUGGCAUGUCCCUUGUGGAUAUUACCAAUCAACCCAUUCUGAGUACCUUACCUGUUGCUUCCACACAGUGUCUGUGCAUUAGUACUGACAUCCUGAUGAUAGGUGAAAGCCUAUCGGAGGGAGAUGUGUGGAGGGCAUACUUAUAAACUCUUGCAUUACCAUGUAUUCUGUCUGAUAAUGUUUAAUAUAAACUAUUAAAACUUUCAACAACGGAUCUCUUGGUUCUC
rnacentral:misc_RNA from 1 species